UUCCCCACUUGUACCUAGCCUCCUCCAUCCCUCGGGACCAACAAGGGGUAGUAAAGGAAUAUUCACCUGUUGUCCAUCGACUACGCCUGUUCCUUCCGUUUGUGGUAGAGCGCGCCCCUGAUAAUUGCAUCGUUGUGCCUGGGCUGUGAGAAUUACACGGCCUUGACUAUCAACUACGGAUUGGUUGAAAUUGAAACCAUUUAGGUUGAAAGCCAUAGUGCUGAUACCUAAAGCAGUGAACCAGAUACCUACUACAGGCCAAGCAGUUAGGAAGCUUCUUCGGCCCGAACCGAGGAAUCC
rnacentral:lncRNA from 1 species